UUCCAGAUUCUCGCAACGCAUCUCCACCACCUCCAAACUUUUGGAUUAUUAGGUUAAAUGUGAACAUUACUCAUUUGAUCCGAACUUGUGCUGCCGUUUCACAUGUUACAAGAACGGAUGUAUGGGAUUCUGCCGAUGUAUGGCAAAAGCAUCGAUCGAAUCCGAACAGCGCCAACCGGCCACCGUGGUGUAUGGUCUCAACGAACCUGCAAACCAAGAGAAACAGACGAAGCACAUCAAAAGCUCAACAGAGCUCAAUUCCAAAUCCUGAAUGUGCAGGAAUACCCGCACCUCAUAGUCAUAGUGUUCCAAAUCAUAUGAGCGACACCGUAUACGUUUCAUUGCUCGUGUGUGUUGACUGUGUGUAUGUGUGUAUGUCGGUCGGUGAAUGGUGAUGGUGGUGAUGGCAGAAAUCGUUGCACCCCAGCCUCCGUGAAUCCAAGUGAAGUGAUAGCAGACUAGCUCGCAAGUGAAUUGAACUGGAGCCAAUUGCUCAUUGGGUAAAUCGAAAACAAUGACCAAUUGAAGCAAUUUUUCCUAGUCCUUCCUUGAAAACAUUUUCCCUUUUCCACUCCUCUCCAACCCCAUCUAUACUAUUCAUAUUAUUUUCAUUUAGAGUAAGCAAAAAUCACACACAUCAAAAAAGAAAAUGAGUUGAAAUAAAAACAAUCGAAAAUAA